rnacentral:rRNA from 1 species
AUUGAACGCUGGCGGCAGGCCUAACACAUGCAAGUCGAGCGGAUGAAGGGAGCUUGCUCCUGGAUUCAGCGGCGGACGGGUGAGUAAUGCCUAGGAAUCUGCCUGGUAGUGGGGGAUAACGUCCGGAAACGGGCGCUAAUACCGCAUACGUCCUGAGGGAGAAAGUGGGGGAUCUUCGGACCUCACGCUAUCAGAUGAGCCUAGGUCGGAUUAGCUAGUUGGUGGGGUAAAGGCCUACCAAGGCGACGAUCCGUAACUGGUCUGAGAGGAUGAUCAGUCGCACUGGAACUGCGACACGGUCCAGACUCCUACGGGAGGCAGCAGUGGGGAAUAUUGGACAAUGGGCGAAAGCCUGAUCCAGUCAUGCCGCGUGUGUGAAGAAGGUCUUCGGAUUGUAAAGCACUUUAAGUUGGGAGGAAGGGCAGUAAGUUAAUACCUUGCUGUUUUGACGUUACCAACAGAAUAAGCACCGGCUAACUUCGUG